rnacentral:lncRNA from 1 species
GACGUAUAUUACCGCGACACUGUCCAGAGCGGUUCAAAGUCAGGCUGACUUUGUCCUGCAAUACCGACCAUAAUGGGAAAUCACAGCCCUGCACAUCUGGUUGUUCUUGGAUUGUCACUCACUGUCUACAUCCUGGUUGUUCUACUCAAUGCACUUGCUGGACAAGGACUAGCACCCUUUCUGAGGAAAACUGCGAAUGUAUCGGAUGAGUACAACACGCAGAUCACGCCAUCUGGAUGGACCUUCUCCAUCUGGGGUGUAAUAUACAGCUGGUUGACUGGCAUGCUGUGCUACAUCCUCAGCACCACCUGCAGACGGAACAGCUAUGGUUACAUAUACUGCUCGCCUCCCGUUCUGCCCUACGGAUUUUUCAUUGCCUGGAUUUGUAACAUGUUGUUCAACCUUACCUGGCUGUUGCUGUGGGACCGACUGUAAGUCAGUUCAUUUUCUGUAGUUAACUUCCUUAUGUAAGGAUUAAAAUUCAUACAAAUUGAAAUAGGUACAUAACCAUUUUAUUAUUUUGUGAUAACAUGGUAAUAUACAAUACAGUGUUUCUUCUUUUUUUUUUCUUUACUAAGUCAAAUGAUCGCAGCAUUUAUUUUUCUGGGACUGAUUGCUUUCACAAACUACGUGGCGCUGUUCUUCUCCUGCCACGGACUGAUAUCGUAUGGUGCAUGGCUCAACACAUACCACAAGGCAGACCUCUGGCUCAUCCGUGUCUUGGCGAGUCAUUUGGGCCGUUUAGUCCUUCAAAUCUUAGAUAGUUGCCAAAAAAAACCUAAAAAUAAUCAUUUGCUCUCCACCUGUUACAGGUGCAAAAUGGAUUAGCUACAUAUACGACAUGGACAACAAUAGCCACCCUGAUCAACCUAAAUAUCGUGCUGGCCUAUGAUGCUGGCAUGUCCCAGUCAGACGCGGGAACAGUGGCUCUCUCUAUUCUACUGGUUGAAGCCUGUGUGUGGUAAGGAUGUCAACACAAUUAAUACUUCUAAAACUACUACUGCGACUAAUAAUAAUUAUAAUCAUCAUCAUCAUCGUUUGCCAAAUUCAUCUUUUUUUCUUUCUCACCGGCAGGUUUAUCCUGGAGAACUUUGUUUUUGAAAAGCAUGUGCGUUACAUCCUUACCAUCUACCCUGUGGUAAUUAUAGCCUUGUCGGGUAACAUGACAAAGAACUACAAUCAUGCAGGCCCGAGCCGCAAUGGCCUUUUCACUGGUGAGGAAAGCAGCAGUUUUUUAGAAAUGUUGGUAUACUUUUAAUCGGUAGUAACACGGUAACACACACUAAUGUAUGUUUCUUGCUUUCCAGCUGUGCUCUUGGCUCUUGCUUGCGUGUUAUUUGCUGCAAGACUCAUUCUGGUCCUCUGGAGACAUUUCAAGCAGCCUCUCUACACAAACAUAACUUCUGAAAACAGCAUGUCUCCUAUGGAGAUUGCA